GGAUAGAUACCCUGCUAUAAACUAAUAUAUAAUAUUAAAUGAUUAUCACUAAACUAAAAAAAAUUGGCGGCUUAAUUAAUCUCUUAGAGGAGUUUAUUCUAUAAUGGAUUCAACACCUAAACCUUACUAAAUUUUGUAUAAUUAACAAUUUGUAUACCUCUAUAAAUAAAAUAAACAAUUUUAUUAACCUGUCCACCAAAGAAACCAAAUUAAGUCAAGGUGCUAUUAAUAAUUUAGGAUGAAAUAAACUAUAUUAGUUAUAUCUUAACCUCAUAAUUAUUAAACAUAAUUAAUAUUAAGAAAAAUUUAAAAGUAAAUUUUAUUUAUAAAGUAAAAUUGAAUAUAAAAUUUUAAGUGUACAUAUUGCCCGUCACUCUUUCGUACAAAAGAUAAGUCGAAACAUAGU
rnacentral:rRNA from 1 species